UCCUUUUCCUCUUGGGUUUCUUAAUUGGUUGCGUCGACGGUUGGGGAAUCGGAAUUUGCACAGCGGCGAGAGGAUGCGCGGACGGCGGCGAGAGGUGGGCGGGCUCAGUAGCGAAGUGAGCGACGGCUGCGCUGACCCUGUCCUAGAUAGCGUCGGCGGCGGCAGCAGGUGAAAUCAGCAGCCUCGUGGUCGGUCGUCCGAAGCGGCUGUUUGGUGUGAUUGGCUUCAACAGAACCGAUUCCCAUUGGAGCGGAAGGGGACGAGCGGCUGUUGGAUGGCGGCAACUGGUGACUUCGGCAGCCUCACUCUCGGAUUAGCCCAAGACUGAUUUUUUUUUCAGCAAUGAUGUGGGGAUCUGUCCGCUAGGUUUCAUGUCAUCUCGGGGCAAUGUUGCCAUGGCGGCGUCGCGGGGUCAGCAGCCUGGUUCGUCCACGCGGCGGGUGGUGGCUGAGGGUAGCCUCGGCAUUGGCACAUCGGGUGGUGCCUGCGGGAUGCAUCAUGGUGAGCAGCAGGCCCCCUGAGCCGUGUUGUGGGUUGAUUCAUGGCCAGCGCGCCCAUGGGCUUGAACGUAAGGUACGGUAGCUGGCCAUUCUGUUCUCUGUAAUUUUUUUAUUUAAAUCACCUAGCAGGAUGCCAGUUACAUGAUACUCUUCAUAAUAUGCAAAGAAAACUCUUAACUUUACCCCUGGCUUCUUUCCGGUCAGUUCAUCUGGUAAGUAGAUGCACUGAUUCAGGUUCAAACUACCAACCACUAUUCUAUCAUCCCCAUCUUCAACAAUUUGCAAAUCUCAUUUCAGAGGUUAAGCUCUAGGAUUGAUAGAUCAUUCCUGUUAGGAUUGAUAGAUCAUUCCUGUCAUUACUAUUAGAGGUUAACCAAUUGUAUAUUAAACACCUCUGAAAAAAUACGAGAGCCAAGAGAGGCAGGAUACGUUUUAUUUUUUGCACAGGGAUGAGUGAAGUUGGAUCUAGAGAGAACAAAUAGCAAGUCUAGUGGAACUCGGAAGCACAAACUGUCAUGCUUGGCCAGAACUGAAUCUUUCUUUUCUUCCCGUACUGAUUCGGGACAAGGUAUUACCUGACAGAGCUAUAGAGACUAAGAACUGGAAAAGGUUGUGGGCGACCCAGGCUCCCAACAAGAUGAAAAUUGUACUAUGGCAGAUGAUACUUGAUUGUCUGCCAACGGGAGAACAAUUACAACACAGACACAUCUCGACUGAAGAUAACUGUGCGUUCUGUGGUCGUGAAUCGACCCACAACAUGGAGCACAUGAAAUGGAGUUGAGAAAUAAAUGUCCAUUCGAGGACAAUGCAUCCUUAACAAUUUACCAUGUUGAACAAAGCUCCUCUAUUGAAACCGAACACGGUAGUUGUGGUACCGUCCCAUUUAUACAAGAGACUAUGGAAAAUUAAUCAUAUUCCGAGAAAUCUGAUUUUGUAAUGAUACCAUUUAUAUGUCAGACUCGAAUGCUUUCUGAAAGUUCUGCGUUAGUACUAGCCAGGCUCAACCUUAACCCGAACAAGCUGCAACACCUAUUUAACUAUAGUUGGAGAGUCAUGUAGCAGUUUUCCUUGUAAAUGGUUUAUGAUUACCUGAUGCAAUUGCUUCACUCUUAGUUCAUGUUCACUGCAUAUUUUUCACUAGCACAACUUGCCCUAUAUAGUAUGCUCCUGUUUGAUAAGCAACACUAGGUGACUCAGCUACAUUUUUUUAAAGGAAUAUAAUUAUACCAUUCUCAUAAUUUUAUGCUAUUUUUCAUGUCGUAGGUGGAUCUUACUGUAUCUGGUUCAGUAACUCUUAUUCUCUUGCUUUUGUGCAUGUGGUCUGAUGUUCGUGCUACGAAGACCACCGCCAACAUUAGUAGGCCAAUGGUUUUGAGCCACUCAAAGAAAUUGUCCAGGUCGAGGAAAUCACAGAACAAGGUUGUUCCUUGCGCUAACCCAACGACCGAAGAGCAGCAGGAGAGAUAAACAUUGAGUUCCAAACUGCUUUAUCCUUUCAAGUUCCAUCGAACAAAGAAGUAUGUCAUAUUCUUCUUGAAGUCUUGUUAGCGCCUUUGCUCUACAUGAAAUUAACCUAUGUGACAGAAGUUUGAUGGAGCAACUAUUACUUAUGCCUUGUAUUUAUUUUUUAUUCCGACUGUAUGUCAUAUUCUUCUUGAAGUCUUGUUAGCACCCUUGCUCUACAUAAAUUGGCCUAUGUGACAGAAGUUUGAUGGAGUAGGUAUUACUUAUGCCUUGUUUUUAUUUUUUAUUCCGACUGUUUAUUAUUUUAUACCCAUUAUAAACUCUGGCAGAUUUGAUCUUAUAUCCACUGCCUCCCUUGCCGCGAGCAAGUGCUCGCGUGUUGAGCCUUUGGCUCCAUCUUUCAUGUACAACAUGUUGACCUUGAUCGUUGGAAAGUCAGCUUUAUUGUAUCAUUAACCCGGUAUUUUCAUUUAAUCCACUUAAUGCCAUAUGAUGUUAUCCUUGUAGUCUUGUGAUUUUUCAUCAAUAGUUUGUGUAUUGCAGAUAAAGAUGAACCAGCAUAGCUCUCGUGCGUCAUCUUACUUGAUUUGAAUGAAACCAGGCCUUUUACCUGAUUCUUUGGAGAAGUUCAGACCCAUGAAAAUCCAUAUAAAAAAAACUAGAUUUGAAGCUCCCCUUGUGCAUACUCUCCCUAAAGCAAACUGCGCUUCUGUAUAUAGCUGAAUAUCUUUAUUGUGGUGUCCUGUCCAUGUAAUGUUCUUGCUUAUGAAAGCUUCCUUCUAUUAGCGUCAUCUACCAGAUCAUAUUCGGAAUUGUUGUACUGCAAGAAUGAUCCAUGCCACGCACGUGACAUUUUUUAAUUCACAUUUUUUUAUAUCCCAGUGUAUACCAUAUUUUAUAUGGUGUGAUGUUGAUUUGUGUGAUAACAUAAUAUCAUUUGGAAGAAAUAACCGAUGUAAUUGGAAAUCCUA